AGAGUUUGAUCCUGGCUCAGGACGAACGCUGGCGGCGUGCCUAACACAUGCAAGUCGAGCGGGGAACGGACGGUAGCUUGCUACCGUUUGUUUCUAGCGGCGGACGGGUGAGUAACGCGUGAGCAACCUGCCUUUAUCAGGGGGAUAACGCAUCGAAAGAUGUGCUAAUACCGCGUAAGACCACAGCUUCACAUGGAGCGGGGGUCAAAGGAGCAAUCCGGAUAAAGAUGGGCUCGCGUCCGAUUAGCUAGUUGGUGAGAUAACAGCCCACCAAGGCGACGAUCGGUAGCCGACCUGAGAGGGUGAUCGGCCACAUUGGAACUGAGAGACGGUCCAGACUCCUACGGGAGGCAGCAGUGGGGAAUAUUGGGCAAUGGGCGAAAGCCUGACCCAGCAACGCCGCGUGAGGGAAGAAGGGUUUCGGCUCGUAAACCUCUGUCCUAUGGGACGAAGGAAGUGACGGUACCAUAGGAGGAAGCCCCGGCUAACUACGUGCCAGCAGCCGCGGUAAUACGUAGGGGGCGAGCGUUGUCCGGAAUGAUUGGGCGUAAAGGGCGCGUAGGCGGCCUGCUAAGUCUGGAGUGAAAGUCCUGCUUUCAAGGUGGGAAUUGCUUUGGAUACUGGUGGGCUGGAGUGCAGGAGAGGAAAGCGGAAUUACCGGUGUAGCGGUGAAAUGCGUAGAGAUCGGUAGGAACACCAGUGGCGAAGGCGGCUUUCUGGACUGAAACUGACGCUGAGGCGCGAAAGCGUGGGGAGCAAACAGGAUUAGAUACCCUGGUAGUCCACGCC
rnacentral:rRNA from 1 species